rfam:Brachypodium distachyon strain Bd21 chromosome 1, whole genome shotgun sequence.
CAAUUACUCCCUCCGUCCAACAAAAGAUGUCUCAAGUUGGUCAAAAAUUGGAUGUAUCUAGACAUGACUUAGUGUAUAGAUGCAUUUCAAAUUUAGUUAAAAUUGAGACAUCCUUUGUUGGACGGAGGAAGUACCUU